rnacentral:lncRNA from 1 species
CUUUUCUUUUUUUUUUUUUUUUUGCUUUUCAGGGCUGUACCUGCAGGAUACGGAGGUUUCCAGACUAGGGGGUUGAAUCUGGGCUGCAGCUGCCAGCCUUCACCCCAUGGAUUGCAAAGUACUGCCACUUACCUUAACUCUCACAAUUUUUGUACAUAAAGAGAGCUAGAACUACCAUUGCUCCAUUAUGAAUGGCUAUGAGCCUUGAGGCUUUUUUCAUUCCCAAGUGGCAUCAGGUAAAACAUUAGUGGUUCAAUAGCAGAAAUCUCACCUGCCAAGUGCCAUCAGGCAUUAAUUGGCCCAUAGACUGUCCAAAAGUGGAAAGGGGGCCAAAAUUAAGAAUCUUGGACUUACUUCUCCACUGGCCAUCCCCUAGGGGUGCUAAACUGUCAGUAAAUUAGUACCUGUGUAGAAUCUUUUCUUUUUUUUUUUUUUUUUUUUUUCUUUUGCCUUUUUAUAGGGCCGCACCCAUGGCAUACGGAAAUUGCCAGGCUAGGGGUCAAAUCAGAGCUACAGCUACUGGCCUAUGCCACAGCUGCAGCAAUGCCAGAUCCGAGCCAUAUCUGCUACCAACACGGCAACACCGGAUCCUUAACCUACCGAGCCAGGCCAGGGAUUGAACCCGUGACCUCAUGGUUCCUAGUUGGAUCUGUUUCUGCUGUGCCACAAUGGGAAGUCCCCUGUGUAGAAUCUUUAGGCCCUCUUGCCUAUGAUUUCUUCUCCUCCUGCAAUGUAUUACAUUAAAGUGAUUGCUUGCCAUCUGUUGAAUAUUAAAGAAACUCUCUCCUCAUUGCAUGUUUGUAAAAUUAGUCUUUUUUUCAAGCUUCUUAUCAGAUAUAUUCAUGGAAUGUAAGAAUUGCCUCUUGAUCCCCAUAAGGCCCCAAAUUUACACUCUUAUCUGUGACCACAUCAGAAAUUAUGAUGCACAAAACUAUGACUGGGCAAACUUCCCUGUAGGAAUCCCAGAGCCCAAAUUCAUGAAAGCUCCACCUCUUCUCCCACAUUCCCUGACUCUCUUCACCCCCCAACCUACAUAAUCACAUUUGUUACAUUCCUUUCCUAUUUUAGGUACCCAAUAUGAUUAUACUCUUUCCCUCACACAACGUUUUUCAAGAAAGAAUCAGAAAAAAUCCACAAGGAUUCUGCAACUCAUUCAUACCAUAGUAUAAAUGAUGCUAACAGCCACAGCAUUUCAUAACCAUGGAAUCAAAAACAUAAGAUAAAAUGAUAAGGAUCAGAUCAAUUCUCAGUAUUCAAGAAUUAGAGAAGUACUGAGGGAAGAGGCUGUUUCCGACAUCACAUUAACAAUGGUGGUACCACGUAUCAUAUAUCCAGAGAAUGUGGGCCCAUAUUUAACCAGAUAUAGGUAUCUUAACUCUAUUUAUCAGUAGGUCCUAAAAGUUGAGAAAUUUUUAUGAAAUACAUUCUAAACUUUUAUGUGGGACCUUAACUUUCACCAGCAAUUGUUUGACUAUUAAUAGCUGAUACUGAGCAUUAGGUUUACCUAGAAUGUUCUGGAAAGUCUUAAGAGACUUAGAAUUUCUUUUUCUCAAGGCUUAUAAAAGCAUAUGCCAUGUGGCCCAGAUGGUAGAGUAGGAAGACCCUGAAUUCACCUCCUCCCACAGGCCCACCAAAAUUAUAACUAUUUCAGAGGAAUUAUCUAUGAGAAUGACCUGACAUUUAGCAGAAAAGAUUUCCCACAACUAAAGAUAUUAAUAAGGAGCCACAGUGAGUGGUAAGAGAGGCAGUGAUGCAGGAUAGUCAAGAUCUACACUCCUAGGUAAGUGAUCCACAAAUGGGAGGAUAAUAAUAACUGAAAAUGUCCUCUCCAAGGAGCAAAGGACUUGAGCCCCACAGUGGACUCCCUAACCCAGGGAAUCCUGCACCAGGAAGGUAAGCCUCCCGAAUGACCAUCCCUGCAUUCAGGAAAGCCAUAAGGCUCAGAUUCUGCUCUCAAAAGGCAUAUGCAAAACCUCAUAUGCUCUGAGUCUCAGCACAAAGACAGUAAUUUGAAAGGAGACUAAAUCAGAUCCACAUGGUGAUCUUGGAGAGCAUCCCUGACAGGCAGGAGGCACUGUGACUCCCCUGAGGACCCAGACACUGGCAGCAGCCAUUUGUGGGAGCUUGUUAUACCACAAGGACACUAGUGCUGACAAGUGCCAAUUUGGAUUCCUGCCUCUAACCUAUUCAUGCUGGAGGGUUACCCAUCCACCAACAGGCCAGCACCAAGCCUAGGACCUAUCAGGCCAUGCAGCCAGCAAUGCUGGAACAUGGCUCCACUCACCAGUGGGCUGGCAGCCAACACAUGAGGCAGGCCCUAGCAGCCAAGUGGGCUGAGGGUUAGCCCUGCCUACCAGGGAACCCUGCCAAAACAAAAGGGCCCAUGCAGCCCACAAAGGGGACACACCUAGAGCAUACUCUUCUGUUGACCAGAGAGGAAUAUGUUGCUGGGCCCCCAGGACGUUUUGUACAGAAUGCCACUUCUCCAAAAUCAAAAAAUGUAACCCACCUACCUAAUACAUAGAAAUAAACAUAGAGAGAUUUAGAAAAUGAACUGAUUAUUAUCAGUGGUGAGAGAAAAGGAGAGAGGAGCAAUACAGGAGUAGGGGAUAAAGAGGUACAAACUAGUAUAUAUAAAAUAAGCUACAAGGAUAUAUUAUUGUACAGCAUGGGGAAUAUACGCAAUAUUUUAUAAUAGUUAAAAAAAAUAAAUAAAAAAACACAUAUAAAGAAAUAGGCAAAAUGAGGAGACAAGAGAUAUAUGUUCCAAAAGAAGAAAUGAAACUACAAAACUAAGUAAAUGAAAUGGAGAUAACAAUCUACUCUAUAAAGAGUUCAAAAUGAUUACAAAGAUGCUCAAGGUACUUGGAAGAAUGGGUAAACAUGGCAAGAAGUUAAACAAAAUGUUAAAAAAUAUAAAGAACAACCAAACAGAAAUGAAGAAUACAGUAACUGCAAUGAGAUAACACUACAAGGAAUCAACAACAGACUAAAUGAUACAAAGGAACAGAUCAGGAACUGGAAGACAGAGUAUUGAAAAUCACCUAAGCUGGAGAAAAAAUAAUUUUUCUAAAUGUGGAUGAUUUAAGAUUUCUGGGUCAUCAUCAAAUGUACUAAUAUUUCAACUAUAGGGGUACCAAAAGGAAAAGAGAGAGAAAGAGGCAGAGAACUAAUUUAAAGAAAUAAUAUCUGAAAAUUUCCCUAAUCUGAGAAAGGAAACAUACAUCCAGGUCCAGGAAGUACAAAGGGUUCCAAACAAGACCUAUUCAAAGAGGGUCACACCAAGACAUAUUAUAAUUAAAAUGGCAAAAAUUAAAGAGAGAAUAUUAAAAGCAGCAAAAGAAAAGUAACAAGCUCUAUACAAGGGACUACUAUAAGAUCAUCAGCUAACUUUAAAGCAGAAAAUUUUAGGCCAAAAGGGAGUGGCAUGAUAUACUCAAAGUGAUAAAAAGAAAAAAAACCUAUAGCCAGGCUUUAAUUCAGAUUUGAAGGAAAGAAAAAGAGACUUACAGACAGGCAAGUGCUAAAUGAAUUCAGCACCUCUAAACUGGCAUUAUAAGAAAUGUUAAAGGGACUUCUCUAAGCAGAAAAAAAAUGACCACAACUAGAAAUACAAAAAUUAUGAAACAAAAAAUCUCACUGAUAAAGGCAAAUAUAUACUAAAAAUAAGAGAGGAACCACUUAUAAAGCUAGUAGAAAGGUUAAAAGACAUAAGUAGUAAAAUCAUCUAUAUUCAGGACUAUAUAUAGAAGAUAGAUACACACAUAUAUAUGCUGUUACAUAUGAACUUCAUGGUAAUCACAAACCAAAAACCUAUAAUAGAUACACACACACACACAAAAGAGAGAAAGGAAUUCAAAUAUAGAACUAAAAAUAAUCAUCAAAUUAAAGAGAGAAAAAGAAGGAACAAAAAAGAACUACUAAAACAACUUGAAAACAAUUAGAAAAAUGGCAGUAAAUAUAUACUUAUCAUUAAUUACAUUAAAUGGAUUAAAUGUUCCAAUCAAAAGACAUAGAGUGGCUGAGUGGACUAAAAAAAACACAACACCACCUAUAUGUAUACUGCCUAUAAUAGACUCACUUCAGAUCUAAAGGCACAGGCACAGAGUAAAAGUGAGAGGAUGGAAAAAGAUAUUCCAUAAAAAUGGAAAUGAAAAGAAAGCUGGGGCACCAAUAUUUGUACAAGACAAAAUAGACUUUAAAACCAAGAUUAAUAAGAGACAAAAAAGGACAAUACGGGAGUUCCCAUUAUGGCUCAGUGGUUAACAAAUCUAACUAGGAACAAUGAGGUUGUGGGUUUGAUCCCUGGCCUUGCUCAAUGAGUUAAGAAUCUGAUACUGCUGUGAGCUGUGGUGUAGGUUGCAGCCAUGGUUCAGAUCCCGUGUUGCUGUGGCCCUGGUGUAGGCCGUCAGCACAGCUCCAAUUAGACCCCUAGCCUGGGAACCUCCACAUGCCACAGGAGCGGCCCUAGAAAUGGCAAAAAGACAAAAAAAAAAAANAAAGAAAGACAAUACAUAAUAAUCAAGGGAUCAAUCUAACAUGAAGUUAUAACAAUUUUAAACACAUAUGUACCAAACACAGAAGCAUUAAAAUACAUAAAGCAAAUAUUAAAAGAAAUAAGUGAGAAAUUGACAGUGACACAAUAAUAGUAGAAAUUUUUAACACUCCACUGACAUCAAUGAACAGAUAAUCAAGAAAGAAAAUCAGGAGUUCCCGUCGUAGCACAGUGGUUAACAAAUCUGACUAGGAACCAUGAGGUUGCAGGUUUGAUCCCUGGCCAUGCUCAGUGGGUUAAGGAUC